GUCUGAUUGGAUACCUCUAAUUAAGAAGGUGCAUAGAAGCAAAUGAAGCAGAGUACUAUGUAACAUGCAUGCAUCUGGAAUGGUGAAAAGCCUCGAGGACCCGCAGGAAAAUUUUACACAUGCCUUCGGGAGGUUUCAGGAAUAGGAACACAAGCGUGUCACUCAGAGAUUAUCAGCUGGACAGAGGAAAAGGUUCAAGGAUGUACUCAAAGCUUCCUUGAAGAAAUGCACCAUUCUCACCGACUCCUGAGAAUCUCUGACCUUGGACCACUCAAGGGUGAGGAGCAGCAUUCUG